rnacentral:tRNA from 1 species
GUGGACGUAGCUCAGUUGGUAGAGCUCCUGGUUGUGGUCCAGGCGGUCGAGGGUUCAAGCCCCUUCGUUCACCCCA